rnacentral:rRNA from 1 species
GACGAACGCUGGCGGCGUGCCUAAUACAUGCAAGUAGGACGCAGGUGCGAACGGGUGAGUAACGCGUAGGUAACUGACUAUUAGAGGGGGAUAACUACUGGAAACGAUAGCUAAUACCGCAUACUAGUAGAUGGACCUGCGUUGUAUUAGCUAGUAGGUAGGGUAAUGGCCUACCUAGGCCACGAGACAUAGACGACCCGAGAGGGUGGUCGGCCACACUGGGACUGAGACACGGCCCAGACGCCUUCGGGAGGCAGCAGUAGGGAAUCUGCGGCAAUGGGGGGAACCCUUACCGAGCAACUCCGCGUGAGUGAAGAAGGUUUUCGGAUCGUAAAGCUCUGUUGUUAAGGAAGCGGUACUUAACCAGAAAGGGACGGCUAACUACGUGCCAGCAGCCGCGGUAAUUC